CCAGCAGCCGCGGUAAUACGUAGGGUGCAAGCGUUAAUCGGAAUUACUGGGCGUAAAGCGUGCGCAGGCGGUUCGGAAAGAAAGAUGUGAAAUCCCAGAGCUUAACUUUGGAACUGCAUUUUUAACUACCGGGCUAGAGUGUGUCAGAGGGAGGUGGAAUUCCGCGUGUAGCAGUGAAAUGCGUAGAUAUGCGGAGGAACACCGAUGGCCGAAGGCAGCCUCCUGGGAUAACACUGACGCUCAUGCACGAAAGCGUGGGGAGCAAACAGGAUUAGAUACCCUGGUAGUCCACGCCCUAAACGAUGUCAACUAGGCUGUUGGGGCCUUCGGGCCUUGGUAGCGCAGCUAACGCGUGAAGUUGACCGCCUGGGGGAGUACGGUCGCAAGAUUAAAACUCAAAGGAAUUGACGGGGACCCGCACAAGCGGUGGAUGAUGUGGAUUAAUUCGAUGCAACGCGAAAAACCUUACCUACCCUUGACAUGGUCUGGAAUGCCGAAGAGAUUUGGCAGUGCUCGCCAAGAGAACCGGAACACAGGUGCUUGCAU
rnacentral:rRNA from 1 species